rnacentral:rRNA from 1 species
AGAGUUUGAUUAUGGCUCAGAUUGAACGCUGGCGGCAUGCUUUACACAUGCAAGUCGAACGGUAACAGGGUGCUUGCACCGCUGACGAGUGGCGAACGGGUGAGUAAUGCAUCGGAAUGUACCGUGUAAUGGGGGAUAGCUCGGCGAAAGCCGGAUUAAUACCGCAUACGCCCUGAGGGGGAAAGUGGGGGACCGCAAGGCCUCACGUUAUACGAGCAGCCGAUGUCUGAUUAGCUAGUUGGUGAGGUAAAGGCUCACCAAGGCGUCGAUCAGUAGCGGGUCUGAGAGGAUGAUCCGCCACACUGGGACUGAGACACGGCCCA